UACGAAGGGGGGCUAGCGUUGCUCGGAAUCACUGGGCGUAAAGGGUGCGUAGGCGGGUCUUUUAAGUCAGGGGUGAAAUCCUGGAGCUCAACUCCAGAACUGCCUUUGAUACUGAAGAUCUUGAGUUCGGGAGAGGUGAGUGGAACUGCGAGUGUAGAGGUGAAAUUCGUAGAUAUUCGCAAGAACAUCAGUGGCGAAGGCGGCUUCCUGGACCAAUCUGACGAUCAGGUGCGAAAGCGUGGGGAGCAAAC
rnacentral:rRNA from 1 species